UACGGAGGGGGCUAGCGUUGUUCGGAAUUACUGGGCGUAAAGCGCACGUAGGCGGCUUUCUAAGUCGGGGGUGAAAUCCUGGAGCUCAACUCCAGAACUGCCUUCGAUACUGGAGAGCUUGAGUCCGGGAGAGGUGAGUGGAACUGCGAGUGUAGAGGUGAAAUUCGUAGAUAUUCACAAGAACACCAGUGGCGAAGGCGGCUCACUGGCCCGGUACUGACGCUGAGGUGCGAAAGCGUGGGGAGCAAACAGG
rnacentral:rRNA from 1 species